rnacentral:rRNA from 1 species
UACGAACCGUGCGAACGUUGUUCGGAAUCACUGGGCUUAAAGGGUGCGUAGGCGGGUCUUUAAGUCAGGGGUGAAAUCCUGGAGCUCAACUCCAGAACUGCCUUUGAUACUGAGGAUCUUGAGUUCGGGAGAGGUGAGUGGAACUGCGAGUGUAGAGGUGAAAUUCGUAGAUAUUCGCAAGAACACCAGUGGCGAAGGCGGCUCACUGGCCCGAUACUGACGCUGAGGCACGAAAGCGUGGGGAGCAAACAGG